CAAGAGCCCGGACACCCAACCAACUGAGCCACCCAGGUGCCCCUUAAAGAGGCUCCUUCUCAGAGGAGCUUGGGUUUCCAAGAAGCAUCGGGAAACAGAACUUGGCGCCGACCCUCACUUGAUGGCAUCGCCAGCCCGCCUCCAGCGCGCCAGCCCCUGGGCCUUACCUCCAGCCACUUUACACCCCACCUCUACUCAGGUCAUCCUGCUGCGGCGGGAACGAAGACUUCCGGGACUCCUCCCUGGCUAGGCGUCACCGUCCAGUGCCCCGCCUGCCCCUCCUGCACAGGCACCUGGGCCUGUCCUCCCACACUGUGGCCGAGCCAAGGUGGGAAGGGACCCGAGGCUAAGGGCAGACCUUCGUCUGCUUUUUUGCCUUUCCAGGUUACCUAUUUGCCUUUCCAGGUCGGCGGCUUCAUCCGGCGUGGCUCGAGGAAGGACUCCCGGGUCACUGAAGCUGGUGCGAAGCAGGGUCCCCAUCACAAAGAA